UGGGGAAUUUUCCGCAAUGGGCGAAAGCCUGACGGAGCAAUACCGCGUGAAGGAAGACGGCCUAUGGGUUGUAAACUUCUUUUUUCAGGGAGGAAUUCAAUGACGUGUACCUGAAGAAUAAGCAUCGGCUAACUCCGUGCCAGCAGCCGCGGUAAGACGGAGGAUGCAAGUGUUAUCCGGAAUCACUGGGCGUAAAGCGUCUGUAGGUUGUUAAACAAGUCAACUGUUAAAUCUUGAGGCUCAACUUCAAAAUCGCAGUCGAAACUGUUUGACUAGAGUAUAGUAGGGGUAAAGGGAAUUUCCAGUGGAGCGGUGAAAUGCGUAGAUAUUGGAAAGAACACCGAUGGCGAAGGCACUUUACUGGGCUAUUACUGACACUCAGAGACGAAAGCUAGGGUAGCGAAAUGGGAUUAGAUACCCCAGUAGUCCUAGCCGUAAACGAAUGGAUACUAGAUGUUGAACGAGAUCGACCUGUGCAGUAUCAAAGCUAACGCGUUAAGUAUCCCGCCUGGGAAAGUAUGCUUCGCAAGGGUG
rnacentral:rRNA from 1 species